rnacentral:rRNA from 1 species
UACGUAGGGCGCAAGCGUUAUCCGGAAUUAUUGGGCGUAAAGAGCUCGUAGGCGGUUUGUCGCGUCUGCCGUGAAAGUCCGGGGCUCAACUCCGGAUCUGCGGUGGGUACGGGCAGACUAGAGUGAUGUAGGGGAGACUGGAAUUCCUGGUGUAGCGGUGAAAUGCGCAGAUAUCAGGAGGAACACCGAUGGCGAAGGCAGGUCUCUGGGCAUUAACUGACGCUGGAGGAGCGAAAGCAUGGGGAGCGAACAGGA